rnacentral:rRNA from 1 species
UUUUGGACAAUGGGCGCAAGCCUGAUCCAGCCAUGCCGCGUGAGUGAAGAAGGCCUUCGGGUUGUAAAGCUCUUUCGGCGGGGACGAAACGGUUCGUGCUAAUACCACGGACUACUGACGGUACCCGCAGAAGAAGCACCGGCUAACUACGUGCCAGCAGCCGCGGUAAUACGUAGGGUGCAGGCGUUAAUCGGAAUUACUGGGCGUAAAGUGUGCGCAGGCGGUUUGUUAAGACAGGUGUGAAAUCCCCGGGCUUAACCUGGAAUUGCGCUUGUAACUGGCAGACUGGAGUGUGGCAGAGGGGGGUGGAAUUCCAAGUGUAGCAGUGAAAUGCGUAGAUAUUUGGAGGAACACCGAUGGCGAAGGCAGCCCCCUGGGCUAACACUGACGCUCAUGCACGAAA